rnacentral:rRNA from 1 species
ACUCCUACGGGAGGCAGCAGUGGGGAAUAUUGCACAAUGGGCGCAAGCCUGAUGCAGCCAUGCCGCGUGUGUGAAGAAGGCCUUCGGGUUGUAAAGCACUUUCAGUUGUGAGGAAGGUGGUGUCGUUAAUAGCGGCAUCAUUUGACGUUAGCAACAGAAGAAGCACCGGCUAACUCCGUGCCAGCAGCCGCGGUAUACGGAGGGUGCGAGCGUUAAUCGGAAUUACUGGGCGUAAAGCGCAUGCAGGUGGUUUGUUAAGUCAGAUGUGAAAGCCCGGGGCUCAACCUCGGAACUGCAUUUGAAACUGGCAGACUAGAGUACUGUAGAGGGGGGUAGAAUUUCAGGUGUAGCGGUGAAAUGCGUAGAGAUCUGAAGGAAUACCGGUGGCAAGGCGGACCCCCUGGACAGAUACUGACACUCAGAUGCGAAAGCGUAGGGGAGCAAACAGGAUUAGAUACCCUGGUAGCACAGAG